AUGUCUUUUCAAAAUUCAUCAUUGACUCCAACUAUAGAUGAUCUUAACAUUGAAAUAGAGUUUGAUGGGAUUGGGGAAGAGAAGACAAUAGAUGAAACUAUAGAGAUUGAUGAGAUGAUUGAUUUGGAGUUUUCCGUACUAACGGAGAAUAUUACUCAAAAUACCACUACUACUGAUGGGUCAACCUCUUCAGGUGAUCAAGAUCAGAGUACUCAGAAAUGA